UGACAAAGUGCUUAUGACUACUAGAUCUUGCUCGGUUAUGUGAGAUUACAAUUCACCGGUUUCCAUCCUGUAUGAAACAGAAGUUAAACAGUUGUAAAAGCAAAAUUCCAGGUCUGGUGGUUUUCCUGCCAGGUCAUGAUGAAACCAUCCUACUUCUGUUGAACCUCGUCCCAGGCAGGAUCGGGGCCUGCGGCCUACAGCCUGUCUUCCCAGCGCUCCAGGGCUCGUGACCCUCCUCCUCCCCUCACUUCAUUCUGCGCUCCAAGGGCACUGGGGAGAGUCACAGUGGUCUCCUCUCCCCCGCAUUGGCCUAAAGCAGGAAGAGAGCAGCCCAGUCACUGAGCAGAUCCCUGCUAGGGCAGGGCUAGAACCCAGACUGCAGCUCACUCGAGAUUCCUGAGAGAAGACUUUGUGUUUGGAGUGUGAACGUCAGGGUGCCUCGGGAAGCCAGGGAAAGCUGAUGACUGGGUGCUGGACAGGGAGCAGGGCCACUUCUGUACCUCUGCACACUUCUAGAAUGCGGACUCAUCCUGCAUCCAUCCAGUAUGUAUUUAUCCAAGCGUCAGUGCCUCUAGUCAUGAGACACACAGGGGUCCGUAAAGCCCACCUGGCGGUAGCUGCUUUCCCCACAAACCCAAACUACAUCCCCAAGGUCAGGGCCAGGCUCUGUUGAGUAAUGCUCCCCAUCACAGCACGCAGCACAAGGCUGGCUGUUUGACAAAUACACACAUAACCAAAAGACAUGUGAAUGUGGUUUCCCAACUCACUUUAAACAAAUAUUCCGGGACCAACUUCAAGGACGUUCUACAACAGAAACUGGACUGUACUCUUCACAAACAUCAAUGUCAUGAAAGACAGAAAGGCUGAGGACCUGCUCCAAACGAAAGGAGGCUGCAGAGAGGACAACUAAAGGCAGCGCUUGAUCCUGGAUUGGAUCCUGGACCAGAAAAACAACGGCUUUCAAAAUCAUUAUUGGGACAGUUGGCAAAUUUGAAACAGGAACUACAAAUUAGCAACUCCUGGGCUGAUCAGAGAAUAUUACACAUUUCCUGAAUUUGAGAACUGUACCAUGGGCAUGUGAGAGGCUGUCCCUGUUCUUGGGAAAUGUUCACUAAAACAUCUUACGGAUAAACGAGCAUGAUGUAUACAAAUAAUCCUCAAAUGGUUCAUGGUUCAGAGAGGAUAGGAAGAAACAGGGGUGAGGGAGAAGAGGAGGGAACGAAUGAAAGAGAAAAUGUGGCAAAAUGUUCUUUGUUGUACCCUUCAAACUGCUGUGAUUUUGAAAUUAUUUCAAAAUAAAGUUUUAAAUAUUUUAAAAAAUUUUUUUCUUUCUCCCCUUGAUACCAGGAAGAAUAAAGUUUUUAAAAAAUGGGCAGGUGGGCCAGGCGCGGUGGCUCACCUAGGUGGUGUGUAAACUUUAAAAAAGCAGAGAUUUCAUCCCACAAAUGCAGACUGGGAUCUCCACAUGACCAGGUGCUGUGGACUGAACUGUAAAUGUCCUCCAAAUUCAUAUGUUGAAGCCCUAACCCCCAAUGUGGCUCUUCUUGGACAUAUGGCUUUUAGGAAGUAAUUAAGGUUAGAUGAGGUCAUAAUCCAGCAAGAUUGGUGGCCUUACAAGAGCCAUGUGCAGGCACCAAGAAAAGCCUACGUGAAUAAGACAGCAAGAGGGUGCUCACCAUGUUGGCAUCCUCCGGCCUCAGAUCUGUGGGGGACUGCGGGGGUGAUGGGACAGGGAGAGAACAAGGAGUGGAUUUUCUUGUCCUUUCUAAGGAAGGGGCUGGGAGGGCGAGGGCUGCACUGGGUGCUGGGACCAAGGGUCCAGGGGCUUGGAUCUCUUGUUUACAAACCCCUACUUCUUUCCUGCUAUCUAGCCCACACCCCUGAUGCUCCCCGGAAAGGAGAGCAAGGAUCCUUGAACACGCGUUAGCACUAGAAGGAAACUGGAGCUCACCCCAGUUGAGCCCUCCAUUUGACAGACAGGGAAGCUGAGGCCCAGGGAGGUGAGGGGACUUGCUCAGUCUUUCCAAUUGAGUAUGUGGGGCAGAAGGAGUCCCCAGAGCCCCGGCCCCAGCCACCAUCCUAUUUGACUUUCCCCAACAGGCAUUCUACCUCAGCUAAAGAUGCUGCCUGCCUCUCACAGGCCCUGAGGAGAAGAUGGCCACAUCACAGGAUCGAACACUACCACAAAACUCCUAGGAAGGGACAGGAAGGUGAGAAUCCUUUCUUUUUUUUUUGAGACGGAGUCUCGCUCUGUCGCCCAGGCUGGAGCGCAGUGGCGCGAUCUCACCUCACUGCAACCUCUGCCUCCCGGGUUCAAGUAAUUCUCCUGUCUCAGCCUCCCAAGUAGCUGGGACUACAGGUACCCACCACCACGCCCAGCUAAUUUUUGUAUUUCUAGUAGAGACGGGGUUCCAACAUGUUGGCCAGGCUGCUCUUGAACUCCUGACCUCAGGUGAUCCACCCGCCUCGGCCUCCCAAAGUGCUGGGAUUACAGGCGUGAGCCACCAAGCCCGGCCUGAGAAUUCUCUUCUGUCAAUGGUGUGGGCCUCUCGACCUCACUAACCUAUAUUGGCCCAGAGGUGAUGGUGACAAUUUGAGAUAACACAAAGUCUC
rnacentral:lncRNA from 1 species